GAGGACGAGUCUCACUCCAGAAGAGCAGAAAAUGAAUUUGGGCUGAAGCAAAAGACAGAGUCCACCGUGUCCCAAGCAGCCUCUUCUGAGUGCCCCACAACGUCGGAGCUGAAUGUUUAGGCUGUCCCUUUAGAAGCUGAGAUCCUGGCUCUCCAAGGUGGUGGUGUAAGUCACUCAUGUGAUCUGACCAACCCAAGUAUCUUAGCAUGAAGAUCUAAGGUGACUACGGACUAACAGAUCACCAUCAGUCAUGGUUGCUGAGCUAAUGGAAAGUGAAGCCACAGGCAGAGGAGACGUCCCCAUAGCACCAGCCCGGGGCUUUGUACUCAGGGCUUUGGCCACCAUCUCCAAACCUCACUCACUCUGGACCCCCAGGCCAAGCCUCCAGAUUGUCGGGGAGAGAAGUGAGGUACUCCCCUCUGCAGGACUCCAGUGUCUAUCUUAUUGCUUCACUCCAAAGAUGACCCACAGACCUGUUAGGAGGGGUGAACCCCAAGCCUGGCCACAGCAUCAAUGCUGGGAAGCAGGCUUCUAAGACACUGGCUUUUUGUCUGACUUCCUAUAGGAAUUACCUGAGGGGCCUGAAAAACGGCUGAUUCCAGCCACUCUCAGAGACUCUCAUUUAGCAAUGCGGAGUGCAGCUACUGCUGGGGCUUUUAGAAGCCCCCAGUGAUUCCGGGGAGCAGUAGAGCUUGAGAAACAUUGCUGUUGCUGUGACCAAAUGUCUGCGGGCAGAGGAUGGAAGGCAGUGCCAAUGACAUCACCUGCAAACCUGCUAGAAAUGACGAUACUCUAUCCAGACCUAUGGAACCUGAAAUCUGGCAGGCGCUGAGAAGGACGCUGGCCUUCUAACCAGCCUUCUACACAGUUCUGAUGCCUCCUAAGGACUGAGAAUCACUUCUCUAAGCAACAGGCUACUGGUGGAUUGUUAUUAGUCAUGGUUUGCUUUAUCAACUAUUGAAUAACAACUAUGUUGAUUAUAAAGUUAGGAAAUGAACCUACCCCAGGCCUUUCCCUGAGAACAUGUGAGAAAGCUUUUUAGAGAGAUUAGGAAUCAACAGGAAUUGAUGGGAAAGGGGACAGCAUUACCACACGUGGAUACCACUGUGGGCCAGAAGCUUCCACAGGGAGCCUUGCCUGCCCAGGGAGAGCCCUGCCUGCCCAGGGAGCGCCCUGCCUGUCCAGGGAGCGCCCUGCCUGCCCAGGGAGAGCCUUGCCUGCCCAGGGAGGAUCCUGCCUGCCCAGAAAGAACACAAUCCAUGGGGAGAGGUGGGCAGUGCACAGCUAAGAUGACCCAGCAGAUCGAUGCUCCCUUAACAAGGACGGAAGCAAAUUCUGCUUUCUUCAGCCUCUGCUCAUGCUGAUGAUAACGGUUCAAGUACAUGGGCUUGGAAGACAGACCUGUAGGCCAGGGUUGUUUAGUCACUCAACUUUUUUUUGGGGGGGGGAGGGGGUUACACUGGUCUAAGAAUUGUCUUGUGCCACACAUUAAAUACAGUGUGUUCAAUAUGGUCAGUAGUGUGGACCGUCUUCAUAGAACCCUGUAAGAGCGCUUGCCUUGUGUGUUCAUUUAAGUCUGGGCAAGAACUCGGGACACCUCUGUGCUGUGUGACUAAGGUGGAGGUAGAGGACUGGAAUCACGAAACUCACCAAGUUCAUGGGAUUUCAAGCGCUGGAACCUGGUGGAGGCAGGAACCCAGCCUGUACAUUCUGAGCCACACCAGACCAGCCAGGCUCUUGGUUCUGUUUCUGUUCCUGCUUCACAAACCCAGGCCUACUGCUCCCUUCACAACUGCUCCCUCAGCCAGCCAGCUCUCCUGUCUACCCUUUGUGUUCCUGUUUGCCUGUGUUCGAUCAAUCAACUUUAUGUUUCUUUUAUUUCUCCCUUUAGGCGAGGUUAGCGGCAAGCCUGGGUGGACACUCAGCACAUUUUGUGAACAGAAUAACCUGGGCCUGGCUCAGUUGGGAACUCAGUUUCUAGUACGCAAGUGUGAGUUUUGACUAGGCGGGGCCUCGGCUGCUGGUGUGCACAGUGAAAGGACACAGGGAAAUACACCGCACGCGGACAAGCUAAUAGCAUGGCUGACUUUGUGCUAUCCUUGGUAAUAAAGGACAAGGCCAGACCGUCCAUCAUCGUGAGUUCAGGGCUGACCUGCAGAGUUUAUUGCCGCCAACAGUUUUAAUUCUCUCCUGCUACAUCUGCAGCCAGCAGUGUUUCCCAAUGACUAUAGACUCAUGGUGAAGAGAGUAAGUCCCAAGCACGAAUUUCCUUCAUGUUAAGUCCUCCAGUUGAGGUGGGAUUUUGUGAAAUCUGUGAGGCAGAGGGAUAGCUGAAGUCUCAGGAGGCUUGGGAGGAGAAAAUAAGUCACUAUAGAUUCAUUCGAUCCUGGAACACAUACCCAGAGGCGCGUUUAGACAGAAGGCAGAUUUUGUAGGGUUGAGUCCUCUGUGCUUAUCUGAUAUAGCAUGCUGUGGGUGGUCUCUACCUUCAUCUUUCAUGACCUGAAAGUGUGGAUUAGUGCAUGGCUGGAGAGGCAGCUCAACAAUUAAGAACACUGGGGGCUCUUCUAGAAGACUGGGAUUCAAUUCCCAGAACCCAUAGGGCAGCUCACAACCAUCUGUAACUCCAGUUCUAGGGAAUGUGAUGUCCUCUUCUGACCUCCACAGGCACAAGGGACCACAGUGAUGCUCUGACAUAUAUGUGACAAAGCACUCAUACAUAUAAAAUAAAUAUUGUAAUUAAAAAACAAAAGAAAUGCUAGGUAGUGGUGGCACAUGCUUUUAAUCCUAGCACUCAGGAGGCAGAGGUAGGUGGAUCUCUGCGUUCCAGACCAGUCUAGUCUACAGAAUGAGUUCCAGGGUAGCCAAGAUUACACAGAAAAACCCAUCUCAAAAACCUCAUAAUUAAUUAAUUAAUUAAUUUAAGAAUACAAAACAAAAUAAAAGCAUAGUGCUACGUGGUCGUAGUACAGAUAAAUCCAGAAAAUACCUUACACGGUGACCACCUGCCGGGUACCAGGUAGAAAAAGCACACGAUUCUUCUCCUCUGUCAUGAGAAAGUCAGCCCAGGGUUCAUCUGGGCCCAUACUUCCUCCCACCAUACAGUUUAAAAUAUCUUAAUUGGUUUGCACUUUCAUUCAUUAGAUUUGUUAUCAUCUGGCUUCUCUGCCUAUGGUCGUUUGAACAAGAAUGGCCCCCAUAGGCUCCCGUAGUCUCCCAUAUUUGAAUGCUUAGCCAUCAGGCAGGGGCACUGCGUAGAACUACAGGAGGUGCAGCCUUGUUGGAGGAAGUGUGUCACUGGGGGUGGACACUGAGGUUUCAGACUGAAGUACACUUAGUGCUGCUUCUCCAGGUGUCUUCUUGCAACUGAGUUUAUUGCAGAUCUCUGACGACUCUUUAUGUAAUUUAAUUUAUUCAAACUAGGAAUGGUGCCAUGGCGUCUGAAUUAAAAUGAGAAAGGAAAUCAGUCCGUUGGCUCACGCUUGUAAUUCUAGCCCUCUGGAGGUACAAAAGGGAAGACUGUAAGUUUGGGGCUAGAGAUGAAGGCUCUGUCACUAAAUCAAUAAAUAAGAAAGAAAGAGGCGGGGCUGGAGAGAUGGCUCAGUGGUUAACAGCAUUGCCUGCUCUUUCAUAGGUCCUGAGUUCAAUUCCCAGCAACCACAUGGUGGCUCACAACCAUCUGUAAUGGGGUCUGGUGCCCUCUUCUG